GACGAACGCUGGCGGCGUGCUUAACACAUGCAAGUCGAACGCUGAAGCUCAGCUUUUGUUGGGUGGAUGAGUGGCGAACGGGUGAGUAACACGUGAGUAACCUGCCCCCUUCUUUGGGAUAACGGCCGGAAACGGGUGCUAAUACUGGAUAUUCACUGGUCUUCGCAUGGGGGUUGGUGGAAAGGGUUUUUCUGGUGGGGGAUGGGCUCGCGGCCUGUCAGCUUGUUGGUGGGGUGAUGGCCUACCAAGGCUUUGACGGGUAGCCGGCCUGAGAGGGUGACCGGUCACAUUGGGACUGAGAUACGGCCCAGACUCCUACGGGAGGCAGCAGUGGGGAAUAUUGCACAAUGGGCGCAAGCCUGAUGCAGCGACGCCGCGUGAGGGAUGGAGGCCUUCGGGUUGUGAACCUCUUUCGCUCAUGGUCAAGCCGCAACAAUGGUUGUGGUGAGGGUAGUGGGUAGAGAAGCGCCGGCUAACUACGUG
rnacentral:rRNA from 1 species